CGGCCCUUAAAUAUUUGCUUGCUCAGGAGCUUCGCCUUGGGCAUCUUGAACUCUCACUUAGUCCGUGGAACACCCCUGUGUUCAUCGUUAAGAAACGGUCAGGGGCCUAUCGCCUGCUACACGACCUACGUGCAGUUAAUGCUCAAUUGGUCCCCUUUGGAGCCGUGCAGCAAGGUGGCCCUCUUUUAUCAGCCGUUCCCGGAGGAUGGUCGUUAGUAGUAAUUGAUCUUAAGGAUUGCUUCUUUUUUAUUCCUCUGGCAGAGGAAGACCGGGAAGCAUUUGCUUUCAC
rfam:Meleagris gallopavo isolate NT-WF06-2002-E0010 breed Aviagen turkey brand Nicholas breeding stock chromosome 19, whole genome shotgun sequence.